AUGGUUAAGUUAGAAAGGGCGCACGGUGAAUGCCUUGGCACUAGGAGCCGAUGAAGGACGGGACUAACACCGAUAUGCUUCGGGGAGCUGUAAGUGAGCUUUGAUCCGGAGAUUUCCGAAUGGGGAAACCCACUGUUCGUAAUGGAACAGUAUCUUUAUCUGAAUACAUAGGAUAUUGAAGGCAGACCCGGGGAACUGAAACAUCUAAGUACCCGGAGGAAGAGAAAGCAAAUGCGAUUUCCUGAGUAGCGGCGAGCGAAACGGAAUUAGCCCAAACCAAGAGGCUUGCCUCUUGGGGUUGUAGGACACUCUAUACGGAGUUACAAAGGAACGAAGUAAAUGAAGCGACCUGGAAAGGUCCGUCGAAGAAGGUAACAACCCUGUAGUUGAAACUUCGUUCCCUCUUGAGUGGAUCCUGAGUACGGCGGAACACGUGAAAUUCCGUCGGAAGCUGGGAGGACCAUCUCCCAAGGCUAAAUACUACCUAGUGACCGAUAGUGAACCAGUACCGUGAGGGAAAGGUGAAAAGCACCCCGGAAGGGGAGUGAAAGAGAUCCUGAAACCGUGUGCCUACAAGUAGUCAGAGCCCGUUAACGGGUGAUGGCGUGCCUUUUGUAGAAUGAACCGGCGAGUUACGAUCCCAUGCAAGGUUAAGCUGAUAAGGCGGAGCCGUAGCGAAAGCGAGUCUGAAUAGGGCGUUUAGUAUGUGGUUGUAGACCCGAAACCAGGUGAUCUACCCAUGUCCAGGGUGAAGUUCAGGUAACACUGAAUGGAGGCCCGAACCCACGCACGUUGAAAAGUGCGGGGAUGAGGUGUGGGUAGCGGAGAAAUUCCAAUCGAACCUGGAGAUAGCUGGUUCUCUCCGAAAUAGCUUUAGGGCUAGCCUCAUGUUGUGAGAGUCUUGGAGGUAGAGCACUGAUUGGACUAGGGGCCCCCAACGGGUUACCGAAUUCAGUCAAACUCCGAAUGCCAAAGACUUAUCCAUGGGAGUCAGACUGCGAGUGAUAAGAUCCGUAGUCAAAAGGGAAACAGCCCAGACCACCAGCUAAGGUCCCCAAGUAUACGUUAAGUGGAAAAGGAUGUGGAGUUGCUUAGACAACCAGGAUGUUGGCUUAGAAGCAGCCACCAUUUAAAGAGUGCGUAAUAGCUCACUGGUCGAGUGACUCUGCGCCGAAAAUGUACCGGGGCUAAACGUAUCACCGAAGCUGUGGAUUGACAUCUUAGAUGUCAGUGGUAGGAGAGCGUUCUAAGUGCAGCGAAGUCAGACCGUAAGGACUGGUGGAGCGCUUAGAAGUGAGAAUGCCGGUAUGAGUAGCGAAAGACAAGUGAGAAUCUUGUCCACCGAAUGCCUAAGGUUUCCUGAGGAAGGCUCGUCCGCUCAGGGUUAGUCGGGACCUAAGCCGAGGCUGAAAAGCGUAGGCGAUGGCCAACAGGUUGAUAUUCCUGUACCACCUCCCCGCCGUUUGAGUAAUGGGGGGACGCAGUAGGAUAGGGUAAGCGCGCUGCUGGAUAUGCGCGUUCAAGCAGUUAGGCUGAUGAGUAGGCAAAUCCGCUCAUCAUAAAGGCUGAGCUGUGAUGACGAGGGAAUUAUAGUACCGAAGUUCCUGAUUCCACACUGCCAAGAAAAGCCUCUAGCGAGGCGGGAGGUGCCCGUACCGCAAACCGACACAGGUAGGCGAGGAGAGAAUCCUAAGGUGAUCGAGAGAACUCUCGUUAAGGAACUCGGCAAAAUGACCCCGUAACUUCGGGAGAAGGGGUGCUCUGGUAGGGUGUAUAGCCCGAGAGAGCCGCAGUGAAUAGGCCCAGGCGACUGUUUAGCAAAAACACAGGUCUCUGCGAAGCCGCAAGGCGAAGUAUAGGGGCUGACGCCUGCCCGGUGCUGGAAGGUUAAGAGGAGGGGUUAUCCUUUGGGAGAAGCUCUGAAUCGAAGCCCCAGUAAACGGCGGCCGUAACUAUAACGGUCCUAAGGUAGCGAAAUUCCUUGUCGGGUAAGUUCCGACCCGCACGAAAGGCGUAACGAUCUGGGCACUGUCUCAACGAGAGACUCGGUGAAAUUAUAGUACCUGUGAAGAUGCAGGUUACCCGCGACAGGACGGAAAGACCCCGUGGAGCUUUACUGUAGCCUGAUAUUGAAUUUUGGUACAGCUUGUACAGGAUAGGUAGGAGCCUGAGAAGCCGGAGCGCUAGCUUCGGUGGAGGCGUCGGUGGGAUACUACCCUGGCUGUAUUGAAAUUCUAACCCGCGGCCCUGAUCGGGCCGGGAGACAGUGUCAGGUGGGCAGUUUGACUGGGGCGGUCGCCUCCUAAAAUGUAACGGAGGCGCCCAAAGGUUCCCUCAGAAUGGUUGGAAAUCAUUCGUAGAGUGUAAAGGCACAAGGGAGCUUGACUGCGAGACCUACAAGUCGAGCAGGGACGAAAGUCGGGCUUAGUGAUCCGGUGGUUCCGCAUGGAAGGGCCAUCGCUCAACGGAUAAAAGCUACCCCGGGGAUAACAGGCUUAUCUCCCCCAAGAGUCCACAUCGACGGGGAGGUUUGGCACCUCGAUGUCGGCUCAUCGCAUCCUGGGGCUGUAGUCGGUCCCAAGGGUUGGGCUGUUCGCCCAUUAAAGCGGUACGCGAGCUGGGUUCAGAACGUCGUGAGACAGUUCGGUCCCUAUCCGUCGUGGGCGUAGGAAAUUUGAGAGGAGCUGUCCUUAGUACGAGAGGACCGGGAUGGACACACCGCUGGUGUACCAGUUGUCUUGCCAAAGGCAUCGCUGGGUAGCUAUGUGUGGACGGGAUAAGUGCUGAAAGCAUCUAAGCAUGAAGCCCCCCUCAAGAUGAGAUUUCCCAUAGCGCAAGCUAGUAAGAUCCCUGAAAGAUGAUCAGGUUGAUAGGUCAGAGGUGGAAGCGUGGCGACAUGUGUAGCUGACUGAUACUAAUCGAUCGAGGACUUAACCAAAC
rnacentral:rRNA from 2 species